rnacentral:rRNA from 1 species
UACGGGGGGGGCAAGCGUUGUUCGGAAUUACUGGGCGUAAAGGGCUCGUAGGCGGCCAACUAAGUCGGACGUGAAAUCCCCAGGCUCAACCUGGGAACUGCGUCCGAUACUGGAUGGCUUGAAUUCGGGAGAGGGAUGCAGAAUUCCAGGUGUAGCGGUGAAAUGCGUAGAUAUCUGGAGGAACACCGGUGGCGAAGGCGGCGUUCUGGACUGCAACUGACACUGAGGAACGAAAGCCAGGGGAGCAAACGGG